GUUAUGUGUCACACAGGUCAGCUGACUGGCUCACUCACAACCAGGAAGUUGAAAUUUUCCUAAGUGUCACAUUCUCCCUCAUGUCAUCCUUACCAUGAUGGGUAAGGAUGGAAAAGAGAGAUAGUGGGGGGGGGUACCAUGCUUCUUGAAGUCCAGGUUCAGAACUGACAUUCUGACCUUUGCUUACAUUCCUCCAAUUGGUGAAAGCCACAAGGCUGGAUGGAGAACUUGGAGAUCCACAUUGUUGAAGACUUGGAUCGAGAAGAGUCAAAGAAUGUGGACAUUUGUUUUUCUAUUUGGCUUUGGUAGAAGAAAAUGAAGGUUUGGCACAUGUACAACCGACACCAGUCAAUGGCUCACGGAGCAUUUAGUAAAGGUUACAUCUGGAGGAAUCACACUUCUAUUUCAUCUGGGACUUCGUGGGGUCCCACUAUCCUCUAAGCAUUUGCAGAUGGCGUCAUCAUUUGUCACUUGAGCUCUAGAAGUGCUUCAGGAUGUCCUGUUUCAGUACAACUAUUUGUCUCUGGAGCGUGAACGUCCCCAACUUUGUCUUGCUGAGCUCACACCAGGUUCCCUACGAAGAAGACAGCCUCACUACUUCUAUACACAGGCAACGUUCUACACAGUUGUGGUUUUCUUUCUAGUGGUUCCUCGUCAAUUAAUCCAUUCUUGAUUAAUUGAAGUCAUUAGUGAUCAAUACAAAUUCACGCUUAUUAAGUGCUCAAUUGUGUGAAAAAAACUCACAAAGCCAUGCUCCUCCAUAUAUUUUCUUGGAGCAUUCAUUUUAGAGGAUGGUAAUGAACGUUUAUCAGAUAUUAAAGGGCUCCUAGUCAAAUAUGCUUGGAGGUACUCAGGUGUCCCAGCAGAAUGAUCUGGCAGAAUAACCAGGCUCUCAAUUACCAGACAAAAUAGG
rnacentral:lncRNA from 1 species